UACGUAGGGGGCAAGCGUUGUCCGGAUUUAUUGGGCGUAAAGAGCGUGUAGGCGGCCAGGUAGGUCAGCUGUGAAAACUCGAGGCUCAACCUCGAGACGUCGGUUGAAACCAUCUGGCUAGAGUCCGGAAGAGGAGAGUGGAAUUCCUGGUGUAGCGGUGAAAUGCGUAGAUAUUGGGAGGAACACCAGUGGCGAAGGCGGCUCACUGGACCGGUUCUGACGCUGAGGCGCGAAAGCGUGGGGAGCAAACGGG
rnacentral:rRNA from 1 species